GAUAGGGGCACAUCUAACUGUACCAUGGUAUAGCUUGAAGAUAACUUAAUAUGAACUAGAAGCAUGAUUGAAUGUCUCUGGAAAAAAAAAAUACCAUACAAAACUAGGAGUAUUAUUUAUAUAUCCUAGAUUUUAUUUAGUAAUUGGUGUCACACUUUUUUGGAUUUAUGUUUGGCCUUAAGCAAACAUACAAAACUACUUGUACUUUUGUAAAUAAACAAAAAUACAAUAAUUGUGACCUUAAGCAACUGAUCCUGUAGCAAUUGAAUGACUAAUUGUGUUUAUUUCAUUAGAUCACAACAUUUCUCAUACCUCAAUUCUUUUAUCAUGCUUCAUGAAGAAUUUUUGUAAACAAUAGCUUUAACUGGAAUGCCUAAGUUUUUGAAGAAUUGAGUUGUUUAUUUCAUUGAUCCUGUAGCAAUAACACUCAAAUUAUAUGUAGGAAUUUCAGGGGAAACCAACUUUCAGGUUACGUCUCUACAACUCUUCUUCUAGAAAGAUCAAGGAAUAGAUUACUUACUUUGAGGAAUUACUUUAUGUGUGUAGAUAGUUUACUUAGAGAAAGUCAACUAUUAGGACCAUGAUG
rnacentral:lncRNA from 1 species